AUUAACAAAAGAAGAGUUCGAAAUUGUCAGGUCUUCCAUUUGAAUAUGUAUGUAUAUCAAGGUUCAAAACUAUGCCGAAACUUGAGGUUAGCAUACAUCCAAUGGAGCUUUAAGGUUGCAGCUUGCAAGACAUAAGUUUCUAUACUAUAAUUUUCUCCACUAACGUUAUUUAUUUGAUGCAAUCAGGGAAAACACAACAGACGGCUGAUACCAAUAUUUCUAAGCGACACUAAGAACUCUGAUCAAACACUGAUGGAUUCCAGACAUAUUCUCUAAAGAGGAAAUGAAGUAAAGAUAUGAAAUCUAAUCCCAUGAAAAGGCUAAAGUUUUUUCGCAAAAGUCCCAUGUAACUAGAUGUAUUUCAUUGCCAAUAAAAAGCCAAACCAAGGUAUAGAAAAAAUGGCCCGUGAUGCAGAUUUAGGAAUCUCUAGAAUCGGAACAUAUUAAGGCAAGUAACUC
rnacentral:lncRNA from 1 species